rnacentral:rRNA from 1 species
CCAGACAGCCAGGAUGUUGGCUUAGAAGCAGCCAUCAUUUAAAGAAAGCGUAAUAGCUCACUGGUCGAGUCGGCCUGCGCGGAAGAUGUAACGGGGCUAAACCAUGCACCGAAGCUGCGGCAGCGACGCUAUGCGUUGUUGGGUAGGGGAGCGUUCUGUAAGCCUGUGAAGGUGUGCUGUGAGGCAUGCUGGAGGUAUCAGAAGUGCGAAUGCUGACAUAAGUAACGAUAAAGCGGGUGAAAAGCCCGCUCGCCGGAAGACCAAGGGUUCCUGUCCAACGUUAAUCGGGGCAGGGUGAGUCGACCCCUAAGG